UACGAAGGGGGCGAGCGUUGUUCGGAUUUACUGGGCGUAAAGGGCGCGCAGGCGGCUAUCCAAGUCAGGCGUGAAAGCCCCGGGCUUAACCUGGGAACUGCGUCUGGGACUGGGUGGCUAGAGUUCGGGAGAGGAGAGUGGAAUUCCCAGUGUAGAGGUGAAAUUCGUAGAUAUUGGGAAGAACACCGGUGGCGAAGGCGGCUCUCUGGACCGAGACUGACGCUGAGGCGCGAAAGCAUGGGGAGCGAACAGG
rnacentral:rRNA from 1 species